rnacentral:rRNA from 1 species
UACGGAGGGGGCAAGCGUUGUUCGGAAUUACUGGGCGUAAAGGGCGCGCAGGCGGUUCUGUUAGUCAGAUGUGAAAGCCCCGGGCUUAACCUGGGAAUUGCAUUUGAGACUGCAGGACUAGAGUUCGGGAGAGGGUAGUGGAAUUCCCAGUGUAGAGGUGAAAUUCGUAGAUAUUGGGAAGAACACCAGUGGCGAAGGCGGCUACCUGGACCGAUACUGACGCUGAGGCGCGAAAGCGUGGGGAGCAAACAGGAUUAGAUACCCUGGUAGUCCACGCCGUAAACGAUGUGUGCUAGACGUCGGGGGUUACGCCUUCGGUGUCGCAGCUAACGCAUUAAGCACACCGCCUGGGGAGUACGGUCGCAAGAUUA